rnacentral:rRNA from 1 species
UUAAGCGACUAAGCGUACACGGUGGAUGCCCUGGCAGUCAGAGGCGAUGAAGGACGUGCUAAUCUGCGAUAAGCGUCGGUAAGGUGAUAUGAACCGUUAUAACCGGCGAUUUCCGAAUGGGGAAACCCAGUGUGUUUCGACACACUAUCAUUAACUGAAUCCAUAGGUUAAUGAGGCGAACCGGGGGAACUGAAACAUCUAAGUACCCCGAGGAAAAGAAAUCAACCGAGAUUCCCCCAGUAGCGGCGAGCGAACGGGGAGCAGCCCAGAGCCUGAAUCAGUGUGUGUGUUAGUGGAAGCGUCUGGAAAGGCGCGCGAUACAGGGUGACAGCCCCGUACACAAAAAUGCACAUGCUGUGAGCUCGAUGAGUAGGGCGGGACACGUGGUAUCCUGUCUGAAUAUGGGGGGACCAUCCUCCAAGGCUAAAUACUCCUGACUGACCGAUAGUGAACCAGUACCGUGAGGGAAAGGCGAAAAGAACCCCGGCGAGGGGAGUGAAAAAGAACCUGAAACCGUGUACGUACAAGCAGUGGGAGCCUCUUUAUGGGGUGACUGCGUACCUUUUGUAUAAUGGGUCAGCGACUUAUAUUCUGUAGCAAGGUUAACCGAAUAGGGGAGCCGAAGGGAAACCGAGUCUUAACUGGGCGUUAAGUUGCAGGGUAUAGACCCGAAACCCGGUGAUCUAGCCAUGGGCAGGUUGAAGGUUGGGUAACACUAACUGGAGGACCGAACCGACUAAUGUUGAAAAAUUAGCGGAUGACUUGUGGCUGGGGGUGAAAGGCCAAUCAAACCGGGAGAUAGCUGGUUCUCCCCGAAAGCUAUUUAGGUAGCGCCUCGUGAAUUCAUCUCCGGGGGUAGAGCACUGUUUCGGCAAGGGGGUCAUCCCGACUUACCAACCCGAUGCAAACUGCGAAUACCGGAGAAUGUUAUCACGGGAGACACACGGCGGGUGCUAACGUCCGUCGUGAAGAGGGAAACAACCCAGACCGCCAGCUAAGGUCCCAAAGUCAUGGUUAAGUGGGAAACGAUGUGGGAAGGCCCAGACAGCCAGGAUGUUGGCUUAGAAGCAGCCAUCAUUUAAAGAAAGCGUAAUAGCUCACUGGUCGAGUCGGCCUGCGCGGAAGAUGUAACGGGGCUAAACCAUGCACCGAAGCUGCGGCAGCGACGCUUAUGCGUUGUUGGGUAGGGGAGCGUUCUGUAAGCCUGUGAAGGUGUGCUGUGAGGCAUGCUGGAGGUAUCAGAAGUGCGAAUGCUGACAUAAGUAACGAUAAAGCGGGUGAAAAGCCCGCUCGCCGGAAGACCAAGGGUUCCUGUCCAACGUUAAUCGGGGCAGGGUGAGUCGACCCCUAAGGCGAGGCCGAAAGGCGUAGUCGAUGGGAAACAGGUUAAUAUUCCUGUACUUGGUGUUACUGCGAAGGGGGGACGGAGAAGGCUAUGUUGGCCGGGCGACGGUUGUCCCGGUUUAAGCGUGUAGGCUGGUUUUCCAGGCAAAUCCGGAAAAUCAAGGCUGAGGCGUGAUGACGAGGCACUACGGUGCUGAAGCAACAAAUGCCCUGCUUCCAGGAAAAGCCUCUAAGCAUCAGGUAACAUCAAAUCGUACCCCAAACCGACACAGGUGGUCAGGUAGAGAAUACCAAGGCGCUUGAGAGAACUCGGGUGAAGGAACUAGGCAAAAUGGUGCCGUAACUUCGGGAGAAGGCACGCUGAUAUGUAGGUGAAGUCCCUCGCGGAUGGAGCUGAAAUCAGUCGAAGAUACCAGCUGGCUGCAACUGUUUAUUAAAAACACAGCACUGUGCAAACACGAAAGUGGACGUAUACGGUGUGACGCCUGCCCGGUGCCGGAAGGUUAAUUGAUGGGGUCAGCGCAAGCGAAGCUCUUGAUCGAAGCCCCGGUAAACGGCGGCCGUAACUAUAACGGUCCUAAGGUAGCGAAAUUCCUUGUCGGGUAAGUUCCGACCUGCACGAAUGGCGUAAUGAUGGCCAGGCUGUCUCCACCCGAGACUCAGUGAAAUUGAACUCGCUGUGAAGAUGCAGUGUACCCGCGGCAAGACGGAAAGACCCCGUGAACCUUUACUAUAGCUUGACACUGAACAUUGAGCCUUGAUGUGUAGGAUAGGUGGGAGGCUUUGAAGUGUGGACGCCAGUCUGCAUGGAGCCGACCUUGAAAUACCACCCUUUAAUGUUUGAUGUUCUAACGUUGGCCCCUAAUCGGGGUUGCAGACAGUGUCUGGUGGGUAGUUUGACUGGGGCGGUCUCCUCCUAAAGAGUAACGGAGGAGCACGAAGGUUGGCUAAUCCUGGUCGGACAUCAGGAGGUUAGUGCAAUGGCAUAAGCCAGCUUGACUGCGAGCGUGACGGCGCGAGCAGGUGCGAAAGCAGGUCAUAGUGAUCCGGUGGUUCUGAAUGGAAGGGCCAUCGCUCAACGGAUAAAAGGUACUCCGGGGAUAACAGGCUGAUACCGCCCAAGAGUUCAUAUCGACGGCGGUGUUUGGCACCUCGAUGUCGGCUCAUCACAUCCUGGGGCUGAAGUAGGUCCCAAGGGUAUGGCUGUUCGCCAUUUAAAGUGGUACGCGAGCUGGGUUUAGAACGUCGUGAGACAGUUCGGUCCCUAUCUGCCGUGGGCGCUGGAGAACUGAGGGGGGCUGCUCCUAGUACGAGAGGACCGGAGUGGACGCAUCACUGGUGUUCGGGUUGUCAUGCCAAUGGCACUGCCCGGUAGCUAAAUGCGGAAGAGAUAAGUGCUGAAAGCAUCUAAGCACGAAACUUGCCCCGAGAUGAGUUCUCCCUGACCCUUUAAGGGUCCUGAAGGAACGUUGAAGACGACGACGUUGAUAGGCCGGGUGUGUAAGCGCAGCGAUGCGUUGAGCUAACCGGUACUAAUGAACCGUGAGGCUUAACCUU